AGGAAAACUGUUGGGAGCCGUGGCACUGUCAAGUCAUCAGACGCGGUGAUUGCGAGGCCUGUGGGAAAGUACAAAAGCCUGGGCUAGAUUACCCCUCUCAUCGAGCCCGCCUGUGUGGCACCUGUUUCUUAUCACCCCACUAAGUUCCCGCCUCACAGGGUAGUCUGCCUAGCUAUUAAUCCUAUAUAUAGCCAGUGCCUCCACCCCCGAGAGAGAGAGAGAGAGAGAGACUGAAGCACAAAAGGAGCCGCGGGGAGCGGACCGGUAGAGGCUUCGGGGCAGACUGAAGCACGGAAGGAGCCGCGGAGAGCGGACUGGUAGAGGCUUCGGGGCAGACUGUAUAAGGAGAGAAUAAAGAAAAGCCUGACUACCGCCAGACCUUGUCGUGUGUCUUUCCUGCCGGCCGGGAGCGGACAUCGACAUUUGGAGGCCCGCACGGGGAUUGAUCAACCCCGAGACGCGGCGGUGGACUGCAUUCUCCUACACAGUGCUGCAGCUGCAGGACAGGAAUCGGGACGAGAACCAAUGUGGGUCCCAGAGAGGUUGACGCGACAGGUCCCUCGACUGAAGAUCAGGCCUGUUCCACCAGAGGCCAACCGCAGACCCAACAACAAGAUGAGCCCUAAAAGAACUGCAGGACAAUCCCUUUUUGGGGGCCUGGAACGGCUUGCUCCCCUAUGUGCUACCCUUGUAUACGCAUGGCUCGCUCGCAUGGCCUACGACCGCGUUUAAAAGUGACAGGCUUCCCACAUUCUCCUCCCUAGACAACAACAUGUAGCAGGGUGGGUGAGUCAAUGACGGGUAAGAGCGUGCCUCCCCAGCACGACUCAACCUAAGCCAGGCCCUACCCCGUUCCGCUCGAAAGCCGCUGGAUUGUUAGAUAAAUUUCUCUCCGAGGGGAUUCGUGGAGAGAAAUGAGUGCAUGCCUAUGUGCAACCAGGUUCCGUCCGGUUCAUUCCUGGCCCUAGAAAAAAGGACGAGGGCCUCAAGGCCUUGGUGGACCCUGGGACGGCCGACCAGGGUCUACGCUAAGGGCCUACGGUGGGCCUCAGUUCGGGGCAUAGGCCUCUGCACUCUAUCCAGGAUGGGCUGCGAUGCGCGUAGCCAUCAUUUAAAAUAAAAUAGGGGGAGAUGUUGGGAGCCGUGGCACUGUCAAGUCAUCAGACGCGGUGAUUGCGAGGCCUGUGGGAAAGUACAAAAGCCUGGGCUAGAUUACCCCUCUCAUCGAGCCCGCCUGUGUGGCACCUGUUUCUUAUCACCCCACUAAGUUCCCGCCUCACAGGGUAGUCUGCCUAGCUAUUAAUCCUAUAUAUAGCCAGUGCCUCCACCCCCGAGAGAGAGAGAGAG